rnacentral:rRNA from 1 species
CCUACGUGAGGCAGCAGUGGGGAAUAUUGCACAAUGGGGGAAACCCUGAUGCAGCGACGCCGCGGGAGUGAAGAAGUAAUUCGUUAUGUAAAGCUCUAUCAGCAGGGAAGAAAAUGACGGUACCUGAGUAAGAAGCCCCGGCCAACUACGUGCCAGCAGCCGCGGUAAUACGUAGGGGGCAAGCGUUAUCCGGAUUUACUGGGGGUAAAGGGAGCGUAGACGGCAGUGCAAGUCUGGAGUGAAAGGCGGGGGCUCAACCCCCGGACUGCUCUGGAAACUGUACGGCUGGAGUGCAGGAGAGGUAAGUGGAAUUCCUGGUGUAGCGGUGAAAUGCGUAGAUAUUAGGAGGAACACCAGUGGCGAAGGCGGCUUACUGGACUGUAACUGACGUUGAGGCUCGAAAGCGUGGGGAGCAAACAGGAUUAGAUACCCGUGUAGUC